AUGGGUAAAUCAAAGAAAAGGAUUUGCAGUACUGACCUUUAUAUCAUCCGAGUUAACAUAAAUGUGGUUGACACGGAGAUAAGGUUUGUAGCAGAGAUGGCCCUGACACGCCAAUCUGUCUUCGAUGCAAAUGCUGCUUGCUCAUACGGACUGGUCGUCGUGACGAUGAGCUCAUCUCCAUGCACAUUAACUGUCCUCGUUGUCUGUGCAGUUACCUGA
rnacentral:rRNA from 1 species